GAUGAACGCUGGCGGCGCGCCUAACACAUGCAAGUCGAACGGCACCCCUCCUCGGAGGGAAGCGAGUGGCGAACGGCUGAGUAACACGUGGAGAACCUGCCCCCUCCCCCGGGAUAGCCGCCCGAAAGGACGGGUAAUACCGGAUACCCCGGGGUGCCGCAUGGCACCCCGGCUAAAGCCCCGACGGGAGGGGAUGGCUCCGCGGCCCAUCAGGUAGACGGCGGGGUGACGGCCCACCGUGCCGACAGCGGGUAGCCGGGUUGAGAGACCGACCGGCCAGAUUGGGACUGAGACACGGCCCAGACUCCUACGGGAGGCAGCAGUGGGGAAUCUUGCGCAAGGGGGGGAACCCUGACGCAGCGACGCCGCGUGCGGGACGGAGGCCUUCGGGUCGUAAACCGCUUUCAGCAGGGAAGAGUCAAGACUGUACCUGCAGAAGAAGCCCCGGCUAACUACGUG
rnacentral:rRNA from 1 species